CUCAUAUGAUAAAUUGAUUAAAUAUGAAAGGCUGUAUGACCAAAUUUCUGUUUACAAAUAUCUGGCCGGGUGGGCACUAGGUAUAUAUUAUACUAAAGGAAAGUAUGAUAGUCCCAGCAAAUAUUAAUUAGUGAAGAUUGUUGACCCAUCAGGUAAUCCAAUUACAUGCAAUAACAAAUUAUGACACCUGUUGUGACUGUUGAUUAGCAUAGGGUCUUAAACUUGUCAUUAUAUGUCCCCACGUAAAAUUAAACAUUCAUUUGAA
rnacentral:lncRNA from 1 species